rnacentral:rRNA from 1 species
GCCUGAUCAGGUUGAAGUCAGGGGAAACCCUGAUGGAAGACCGAAGCAGUUCUGACGUGCAAAUCGAUUGUCAGAAUUGGGCAUAGGGGCGAAAGACCAAUCGAACCAUCUAGUAGCUGGUUCCCUCCGAAGUUUCCCUCAGGAUAGCUGGUGCAUAUACCGUUUCUAUAAACUUAAUAAAUCUUAUCUGGUAAAGCGAAUGAUUAGAGGCAUUAGGUUCGAAACGUUCUUAACCUAUUCUCAAACUAUAAAUGGGUACGAUAUAAGAGUUUCUUGAUUGAACUCUUAUUUCACGCUAUAAUGGCGUACCAUAUCAAACAUUUAUUACAUGUUUGUAAUUUGGUUUAGAUUUAUUGUGCCCAGUGGGCCAAG